rnacentral:rRNA from 1 species
CCUACGGGAGGCAGCAGUAGGGAAUCUUCCACAAUGGACGAAAGUCUGAUGGAGCAACGCCGCGUGAGCGAAGAAGUACCUCGGUAUGUAAAGCUCUAUCAGCAGGGAAGAAAAUGACGGUACCUGACUAAGAAGCCCCGGCUAAAUACGUGCCAGCAGCCGCGGUAAUACGUAUGGGGCAAGCGUUAUCCGGAUUUACUGGGUGUAAAGGGAGCGCAGGCGGCCUGCCAAGUCUGGUGUGAAAACCCGGGGCCCAACCCCGGGCCUGCAUUGGAAACUGGCGGGCUGGAGUGUCGG